rnacentral:rRNA from 1 species
UUUUUAACACCCAUGAGACGCAAGUAACCUGACUGGUGGGAUGGCUUAUGCCUGCACCAUCGACCGACCAUGAUCUUCUGUGAAAGGUUUGAGUACGAGCAUACCUGUUGGGACCCGAAAGAUGGUGAACUAUGCCUGAGCAGGGCGAAGCCAGAGGAAACUCUGGUGGAGGCUCGUAGAUGUGCUGACGUGCAAAUCGCUUUUCGGACUUGGGUAUAGGGGCGAAAGACUAAUCGAACCAUCUAGUAGCUGGUUCCCUCCGAAGUUUCCCCCAGGAUAGCUGGAGCUUGAUCAGUUUUAUCGGGUAAAGCGAAUGAUUAGAGGUACCGGGGAUGAAACAUCCUCGACCUAUUCUCAAACUUUAAAUAGGUAAGACGUCUGGGUUGCUUAAUUGAACCCAGGCAUUCAAUGAGAGCUCCAAGUGGGCCAUUUUUGGUAAGCAGAACUGGCGAUGCGGGAUGAACCGAAAGCUGAGUUAAGGCA